rnacentral:rRNA from 1 species
GAUGAACGCUGGCGGCGUGCCUAACACAUGCAAGUCGAGCGAUCUUCUUCGGAAGAGAGCGGCGGACGGGUGAGUAACGCGUGGGUAACCUGCCCUGUACACACGGAUAACAUACCGAAAGGUAUGCUAAUACGAGAUAAUAUGCUUUUGUCGCAUGGUAGAAGUAUCAAAGCUUUUGCGGUACAGGAUGGACCCGCGUCUGAUUAGCUAGUUGGUAAGGUAACGGCUUACCAAGGCUACGAUCAGUAGCCGACCUGAGAGGGUGAUCGGCCACAUUGGAGCUGGGACACGGUCCAAACUCCUACGGGAGGCAGCAGUGGGGAAUAUUGCACAAUGGGCGAAAGCCUGAUGCAGCAACGCCGCGUGAGCGAUGAAGGCCUUCGGGUCGUAAAGCUCUGUCCUCAAGGAAGAUAAUGACGGUACUUGAGGAGGAAGCCCCGGCUAACUACGUGCCAGCAGCCGCGGUAA